rnacentral:misc_RNA from 1 species
GAUGAAGAACGUAGCGAAAUGCGAUAAGUAGUGUGAAUUGCAGAAUUCAGUGAAUCAUCGAAUCUUUGAACGCACAUUGCGCCCCUUGGUAUUCCAUGGGGCAUGCCUGUUCGAGCGUCAUUUGUACCUUCAAGCUCUGCUUGGUGUUGGGUGUUUGUCUCGCCUCUGCGUGUAGACUCGCCUUAAAACAAUUGGCAGCCGGCGUAUUGAUUUCGGAGCGCAGUACAUCUCGCGCUUUGCACUCAUAACGACGACGUCCAAAAGUACAUUUUUACACUCUUGACCUCGGAUCAGGUAGGGAUACCCGCUGAACUUAAGCAUAUCAAUAACGGAGGA